rnacentral:rRNA from 1 species
AAAGAAUUAACUCCAACCCAAUGUGAACGUUACCAAACUGUUGCCUCGGCGGGAUCUCUGCCCCGGGUGCGUCGCAGCCCCGGACCAAGGCGCCCGCCGGAGGACCAACCUAAAACUCUUAUUGUAUACCCCUCGCGGGUUUUUUAUAAUCUGAGCCUUCUCGGCGCCUCUCGUAGGCGUUUCGAAAAUGAAUCAAAACUUUCAACAACGGAUCUCUUGGUUCUGGCAUCGAUGAAGAACGCAGCGAAAUGCGAUAAGUAAUGUGAAUUGCAGAAUUCAGUGAAUCAUCGAAUCUUUGAACGCACAUUGCGCCCGCCAGUAUUCUGGCGGGCAUGCCUGUCCGAGCGUCAUUUCAACCCUCGAACCCCUCCGGGGGGUCGGCGUUGGGGAUCGGCCUCCUCUCACGGGGGCCGUCUCCGAAAUACAGUGGCGGUCUCGCCGCAGCCUCUCCUGCGCAGUAGUUUGCACACUCGCAUCGGGAGCGCGGCGCGUCCACAGCCGUUAAACACCCCAAACUUCUGAAAUGUUGACCUCGGAUCAGGUAGGAAUACCCGCUGAACUUAAGCAUAUCAAUAAGCCGGAGGAAA